CACCACAACAGGUGGAGCCUGCGGUUUAAUCGGACUCAAACGCCGGGAAACUCACCAGAUAAGACAGCUGAAUGAUAGUCGGGCUGAAGACUCUACUUGACUAGCUGAGAGGAGGUGCAUGGCCGUCGUCAGUUCGUACUGUGAAGCAUCCUGUUAAGUCAGGCAACGAGCGAGACCCACGCCAACAGUUGCCAGCAUGUCCUCCGGGAUGAUGGGGACACUGUUGGGACCGCCUCUGCUAAAGAGGAGGAAGGAAUGGGCAACGGUAGGUCAGCAUGCCCCGAAUUAUCCGGGCUACACGCGGGCUACAAUGGUCAGGACAAUGGGUAUCGACACCGAGAGGUGGAGGCAAUCUCCUAAACCUGUCCUUAGUUCGGAUUGUGGGCUGCAACUCGCCCACAUGAAGCUGGAAUCCGUAGUAAUCGCGUUUCAAAAUAGCGCGGUGAAUAUGUCCCUGCUCCUU
rnacentral:rRNA from 1 species